rnacentral:rRNA from 1 species
UUGCACCUGAUAUCAGCAAACCAUUACAUCUGUGG